rnacentral:rRNA from 1 species
AGACCCGAAACCCGGUGAUCUAGCCAUGGGCAGGUUGAAGGUUGGGUAACACUAACUGGAGGACCGAACCGACUAAUGUUGAAAAAUUAGCGGAUGACCUGUGGCUGGGGGUGAAAGGCCAAUCAAACCGGGAGAUAGCUGGUUCUCCCCGAAAGCUAUUUAGGUAGCGCCUCGUGAAUUCAUCUCCGGGGGUAGAGCACUGUUUCGGCUAGGGGGCCAUCCCGGCUUACCAACCCGAUGCAAACUGCGAAUACCGGAGAAUGUUAUCACGGGAGACACACGGCGGGUGCUAACGUCCGUCGUGAAGAGGGAAACAACCCAGACCGCCAGCUAAGGUCCCAAAGUCAUGGUUAAGUGGGAAACGAUGUGGGAAGGCCCAGACAGCCAGGAUGUUGGCUUAGAAGCAGCCAUCAUUUAAAGAAAGCGUAAUAGCUCACUGGUCGAGUCGGCCUGCGCGGAAGAUGUAACGGGGCUAAACCAUGCACCGAAGCUGCGGCAGCGACACUUUAGUGUUGUUGGGUAGGGGAGCGUUCUGUAAGCCGUUGAAGGUGUGUCGUGAGGCAUGCUGGAGGUAUCAGAAGUGCGAAUGCUGACAUAAGUAACGAUAAAGCGGGUGAAAAGCCCGCUCGCCGGAAGACCAAGGGUUCCUGUCCAACGUUAAUCGGGGCAGGGUGAGUCGACCCCUAAGGCGAGGCCGAAAGGCGUAGUCGAUGGGAAACGGGUUAAUAUUCCCGUACUUGGUGUUACUGCGAAGGGGGGACGGAGAAGGCUAUGUUGGCCGGGCGACGGUUGUCCCGGUUUAAGCGUGUAGGUGUGUGUUCCAGGUAAAUCCGGUUCACUUUAACACUGAGGCGUGAUGACGAGGCACCACGGUGCUGAAGCAACAAAUGCCCUGCUUCCAGGAAAAGCCUCUAAGCAUCAGGUAACAUCAAAUCGUACCCCAAACCGACACAGGUGGUCAGGUAGAGAAUACCAAGGCGCUUGAGAGAACUCGGGUGAAGGAACUAGGCAAAAUGGUGCCGUAACUUCGGGAGAAGGCACGCUGACACGUAGGUGAAGUGAUUUACUCAUGGAGCUGAAGUCAGUCGAAGAUACCAGCUGGCUGCAACUGUUUAUUAAAAACACAGCACUGUGCAAACACGAAAGUGGACGUAUACGGUGUGACGCCUGCCCGGUGCCGGAAGGUUAAUUGAUGGGGUCAGCGCAAGCGAAGCUCCUGAUCGAAGCCCCGGUAAACGGCGGCCGUAACUAUAACGGUCCUAAGGUAGCGAAAUUCCUUGUCGGGUAAGUUCCGACCUGCACGAAUGGCGUAAUGAUGGCCAGGCUGUCUCCACCCGAGACUCAGUGAAAUUGAACUCGCUGUGAAGAUGCAGUGUACCCGCGGCAAGACGGAAAGACCCCGUGAACCUUUACUAUAGCUUGACACUGAACAUUGAGCCUUGAUGUGUAGGAUAGGUGGGAGGCUUUGAAGCGUGGACGCCAGUCUGCGUGGAGCCGACCUUGAAAUACCACCCUUUAAUGUUUGAUGUUCUAACGUGGACCCGUAAUCCGGGUUGCGGACAGUGUCUGGUGGGUAGUUUGACUGGGGCGGUCUCCUCCUAAAGAGUAACGGAGGAGCACGAAGGUUGGCUAAUCCUGGUCGGACAUCAGGAGGUUAGUGCAAUGGCAUAAGCCAGCUUGACUGCGAGCGUGACGGCGCGAGCAGGUGCGAAAGCAGGUCAUAGUGAUCCGGUGGUUCUGAAUGGAAGGGCCAUCGCUCAACGGAUAAAAGGUACUCCGGGGAUAACAGGCUGAUACCGCCCAAGAGUUCAUAUCGACGGCGGUGUUUGGCACCUCGAUGUCGGCUCAUCACAUCCUGGGGCUGAAGUAGGUCCCAAGGGUAUGGCUGUUCGCCAUUUAAAGUGGUACGCGAGCUGGGUUUAGAACGUCGUGAGACAGUUCGGUCCCUAUCUGCCGUGGGCGCUGGAAGACUGAGGGGGGCUGCUCCUAGUACGAGAGGACCGGAGUGGACGCAUCACUGGUGUUCGGGUUGUCAUGCCAAUGGCACUGCCCGGUAGCUAAAUGCGGAAAAGAUAAGUGCUGAAAGCAUCUAAGCACGAAACUUGCCCCGAGAUGAGUCUUCCCUGAGACUUUGAGUCUCCUGAAGGAACGUUAAAGACGAUGACGUUGAUAGGCCGGGUGUGUAAGCGCAGCGAUGCGUUGAGCUAACCGGUACUAAUGAACCGUGAGGCUUAACCUUACAACGCCGAAGCUGUU